CUGGAUGGUAGUGUAUUGGACUACCAUGGCAAUCACGGGUAACGGAGAAUUAGGGUUCGAUUCCGGAGAGGGAGCCUGAGAAACGGCUACCACAUCUACGGAAGGCAGCAGGCGCGAAAAUUGCCCAAUCCUGAUUCAGGGAGGCAGUGACAAGAAAUAACAACUUUCAACUUUGUUGAAAAGUGUAAUGAGGAUAAUUUACAAACCUUACCGAAAGCAAUUGGAGGGCAAGUCUGGUGCCAGCAGCCGCGGUAAUUCCAGCUCCAAAAGCGUAUAUUAAAGUUGUUGCAGUUAAAAAGCUCGUAGUUGAAGUUCUGGCUGUAUUGGGCCUUAGCACUUGAUGCGGAGGAACCAGCAGUCAUCCGCUUGCAAAUACAUGUCCUUCCUUAACCGGUAGGCUGUAUAAGUAAGCACUUUACCUUGAGAAAAACAGAGUGUUCCAGGCAGGUUUGUCCGGAAUGCGUUAGCAUGGAAUAAUAGAAUAUGACUGAAGUCGAUUUAUUGGUUUAAGGCUUUAGUAAUGAUUAAUAGGAACAAUCGGGGGCAUUGGUACUUGUCAGUCAGAGGUGAAAUUCUAGGAUUUGACAAAGACUAACUGAUGCGAAAGCGUUUGCCAAGAAUGUUUUCAUUAAUCAAGAACGAAAGUUAGGGGAUCAAAGACGAUCAGAUACCGUC
rnacentral:rRNA from 1 species